rnacentral:misc_RNA from 1 species
GUCUGGGUUGGUGAGGCGCCUCUUUCGAAGCGGCACUCGGGCUUCAGCUUUCGUAGGUGUUUGGUGUGUGGGUGGGAUUUCGUCCAGCGAGCCGGAGCCCGCACCGCGAGACCUUGUCCCAGUCUUCGCCGACGGCGAGGUCGGCCAGUGGCUGGGCCAGGAACAGGCGCCCGGGCGGUCCCACGAGGGGCCCGCACCGAGGGAACACAACGACCAGGUGAGCAGGUAGACGGUAUAAUAGAUUCAAUGAUCCCUCCGCAGGUUCACCUACGGAGA